rnacentral:rRNA from 1 species
AGCGAACGCUGGCGGCAGGCCUAACACAUGCAAGUCGAGCGGGCGUAGCAAUCUUUCAGCUGCAUACGGGUGCGGACCGCGUGGUAACGUCCCUUUUGGUUCGGAACAGCACGGGGUAACUUGUGCUAAUACCGGCUAAGACCUCACGGGUAAAGAUGUAAUGCCGGAGGAUCGGCCCGCGUCUGAUUAGCUAGUUGGUCAGGUGAUGGCUCACCAAGGCGACGAUAAGUAGCUGGUCUGAGAGGAAGAUCAGCCACAUUGGGACGGAGACGCAGUGCAAAAUCUUGCGCGAGGCAGCAGUGGGUAAUAUUGGAAAACCGGGUGUGGGAUGAAGGUGCCAGGCCGGGUGAGUGAUGAAGGCCGUAGGGUUGUAAAGCUAGUUUGUGCGGGAAGAUAAUGACGGUACCGAAAGAAUAAGCCCCGGCUAACUUCGUG